AUGCGGGCCCUCUUCUGGAACAUCCGCGGCUUCGGCCAUGAUGGCCGCCGCCGCCAGUUAGUGGAAUACAUGCGAGAUGAGCACAUCGACAUCGUGGUUGUGCAAGAGACCAUGCGUCGCGAUUUUGCGCUCCCUGAGCUUGACCGGCUGAGCUCUCACCUCUUUGCGUGGCACUGGCUCCCUUCUAGUGGGAGCGCGGGCCACUCGGGUGGCAUCCUUUUAGGUGUGAAGGAUGCCACCUUUGAGGUGGGCAGCAUGGAUAGGGGCGAAUUCUUCGUCAGCAUGGAGCUUUUCGAGAGGUCGCUCAACUUCAAGUGGGAGAUCAUCAUUGUCUAUGGACCGGCCGAUCAUAGUAGGUCGGCCUCCUUCUUGGAGGAGCUCCACCGGAAAAUCUCGGCCGCCUCCCUCCCCGUGGUUGUCGGGGGCGACUUCAACCUGCUGCGCGUUGCGGAGGACAAGAACAAUGGCAAUGUUUGCUUUGCCCGGAUGGACAUGUUUAACGACUUCAUUGCCGACCUCGCCCUCCAGGAGAUUGAUCGGGUUGGGGCCCGUUUUACUUGGACCAACCGACAAGCCUCCCCGACCCUGUCCGUCUUGGACAGGGUCCUAGUUUCCCCGGAAUGGGACCUCCGAUGCCCCCUAGCCUCUCUU
rnacentral:rRNA from 1 species